AGAUUGAACGCUGGCGGCAUGCCUUACACAUGCAAGUCGAACGGUAACGCGGGGCAACCUGGCGACGAGUGGCGAACGGGUGAGUAAUGCAUCGGAACGUGCCCAGUAGUGGGGGAUAGCCCGGCGAAAGCCGGAUUAAUACCGCAUACGACCUACGGGUGAAAGCGGGGGACUCGCAAGAGCCUCGCGCUAUUGGAGCGGCCGAUGUCAGAUUAGCUUAGUUGGUAGGGUAAAAGCCUACCGAAGGCGACGAUCUGUAGCUGGUCUGAGAGGACGACCAGCCACACUGGACUGAGACACGCCAGACUCCGUACGGGAGGCAGCGAGGUAGGGGAAUUUAGGACAAGUGGGCGCAAGCCUAGACUCCAGCCGAUCGGCCGCGUGGACGGGAAGAGGUACCGUCGGGUUA
rnacentral:rRNA from 1 species